rnacentral:sRNA from 1 species
AUGCCUGGGCCGCCAGGGAGAGGCCGCCCACAAUCGCGGGCCGGAAGGGACCGCGGGGGGCGUCGGGGCCAGCCCCCCAUUUCGCAGUUGAGGCGGGGUUGGGGCGGAGGGCGUGCGGCCGGGGUGCCGCCGACUUCGUCCAUCCGGAACGUGGGCUGGAGACCCAGCAGCCUGGGAAGGGCCCCAGCCCUGUGGGCGCCCUCUCCCCACGCUUGCUGCGAAACGCUUCGUUAAGGGACUCAGGCAGUACGGGAAGAACUUCUUCAGAAUUAGAAAGGAGCUGCUUCCCAAUAAGGAAACAGGGGAGCUGAUCACCUUCUAUUACUAUUGGAAGAAGACCCCCGAAGCAGCCAGCUCCCGAGCCCAUCGUAGGCACCGCAGGCAGGCCGUGUUCAG